GAAAAUAGGAGGUGAAACGAGCUCUGCUCCUUCUGCUUGAUCACUACUCAACAUGAGGUUUUUGCAUUUUUAUUUUAUCCUCUUUUCCCUCUCUCCUCCUCUUUUCCGUAGGACCACUCAAAAAUGGUGGAAGAGCCCAAAUCCAUGUUUUCACCACUGGGGCAGCCCAGGAUGGGGAGAGGUUUCCCAUGGAGGCUCCACACCUGCAGCUGCUCCUUCGGUUCUCGCUGGGAAGGCAAGGAACCAACGCAGCUGUGGAGGAGGGGGAAUAUUCCUUUUGCUGCUCUGUGCUGUUUCCUCCUCCCUGCUCCUGUGUCCUUUGCUGUUCCCGGGGUGCUGUGGCACCCAGCCCAGGGCAGGGGUGGCAGACACGGGCUCAGGAGUUACCCUGGAUGGUCCCUCCCCGUGGGGUUUGUGCCCCAUGCCCUCCUUCCCUCUGUCCCUCUGUGUGACUGUGGGCUUGGGAGUAUUCAGCCAGAGGGAAAAAUCAUGAGAUCAUGGAAUGGUUUGGGAAAGGACAUUUAUUUGUUUCACUCCCUGCCACGGGCAGGGACACCUCCCACUGUCCCAGGCUGCUCCAAACCCAAUCCCCCCCCCCCCCCCCCCCCCCCCCCCCCCCCCCCCCCCCCCCCCCCCCCCCCCCCCCCCCCCCCCCCCCCCCCCCCCCCCCCCCCCCCCCCCCCCCCC
rnacentral:lncRNA from 12 species